ensembl:lncRNA
UCACGCUUAAUUUAAAAGCAUGGCUGAGUUAGUGUACUGCUUCAAAUACCGCACUAUUUCUUCCAGUACCCUGUGGGAGAUUGGCAGGUCCCCGCUGGACUGAGAAAGUGCCACAAGACAAAAAUAUCAGAGUUUGGAAGUGAUGAAGAAAGCCUUUAUGCUCGCAGUAACAAAACAGAGCCUGUUUUGAAUGGCUCCUGGAAAGAAGAAGAGGCGCCCUUGAAUGUGGUAGUACGUGUCAUUGGAGGAACAGAUGGGAUAUCACGCGACACGGCUCUGCACAAACGGCCAAAUGCGUAUUUAAAAUGUAGAGAUUUGCGUCAUAAAGUGUGUUGAUGGAGCAAAUACUUCACCGCAUCCUUUUCCAAAGGGGAAAUCGUUUACUGAAUGCAAUGUUCUUUGGUUGUUUUUCAGAUCUAUGAGAUAAAAACCUCCCAAUAAAAAUGAGGUUUGUUUUUGUGGGUUCGUAUGACAUUUUCUGAAUUUUUUUUAAAUUUUGUGCAACAUGUUAGGAAGAAGCUAUCAGAUGUUAAAUCAAGCUCACGGCUGCGUGUUCAAUACCCCUUUUCCUGUGUGAUUCCAGUGAAAAACCAAUGUUGCCCUUGCUGAUUUCAGUCAUUAAAGAGUGUCAUCACUUUAAAAUAAAUUACGCACCACCAAACAAUUUUAAUAUGGUUUUAUGUAGCUGUAUUACGCAGAAAGGUGUAGAUUUAUUCCAAAAUGCCCCAUAACCCACCAAACCAAACACAAACUUAUGUAAACACAGCAUGCGUAAACAGCCUGACCUAUUUGUCAUUCCAGGUUUGAAUGACUCCUUUCUCCAUCCUCCUCCUCAGAGGUAUUCCCUCGUUCUGGACCAAUGCUUCCUGCAGACCAUUGACUGCAUCCAGAAACCAAAGCAAACAGAGGAGCCGUGAACGCAGAGGUUAAAGUUAGCCAUCAGUGCACCAGGGAUCUGUGAACUAAACUCAGGCCAGAAAACGUUUAACAGCAGACGAACUCUGCCUGAGGCAUCGAGCCGAUACUGUGCGCCUUUUCUUUUCUUUGUGUUCCUUUCGGCAAGAUGGCGUCGCUGGAUGGCGGCGUGGUUAGUCAUGCGCCGCACGCCAACCGCUUCUGAUGUGUUUUCUUGAUAUUCAGGGACCUGACAUUGUCCCGCACUAAGGUAGUGGGGACUUAAUAUAUUGUACAAAGCAAGGCUUUGUUGUAUCAAUUCAAUACAGUAAAAGCCACAUGACCUCGUGUAUGAAUCGAUGGACUGCAAAGAAACAACAAAACAAUCUUUCUGCUGAUGAAGGAAAGACUCAAUCAAUUAUGCUCAAUACAAUAAUACAAAAUGCGAGAACGUCUUAUGGUGAUGACCUUACUGGAA